rnacentral:rRNA from 1 species
AUGGGAAGUAGUGCAAAAAAUUCCUUAGGAAAAAAUCCUAUAGGAUUCAAUCCUAUGAAUCAAACAACCAAUAUAGGAAAAAUUCCUAAGGAUUCCAAUCCUCCAAAAUUCCUAUGCAAAUCCUUUGAAUCAAAGGAACCCUUAGUCUGUAUUCCGGAAGUCUUUGUUUUCCUCACAGAUAGUUGUGUUCAUCAAGAGAACAAAAUGCACAUAAAUUGGUGUCACUUUUGGGAUAGUUGUGUUCAUCAAGAGAACAAAAUGCACAUAGACUGGUGUCACUUUUGGGCGACAGCUGCUGCUACAGGGGCCUACGGCGGUGGGCCUAGUCCAUAG